rnacentral:rRNA from 1 species
UAUGUGAUCGUCUCUCGCAUAUCAAUAAGCGGAGGAAAAGAAACUAACAAGGAUUCCCCUAGUAACGGCGAGUGGAGCGGGAAGAGCUCAAAUUUGAAAUCUUAGAGGGUUUCCCUUUACGAAUUGUAGUUUAAAGAAGUGUUUUCUGUUGAGGUUUUGGUAAAAGUUCUUUGGAAUAGGACAUCAUAGAGGGUGAGAAUCCCGUAUUUGACCUUUACUUUCAACUUUGUGAUACACUUUCAAAGAGUCGGAUUGUUUGGGAAUGCAGUCCAAAAUGGGUGGUAAAUUUCAUCUAAAGCUAAAUAUUGGCGAGAGACCGAUAGCGAACAAGUACCGUGAGGGAAAGAUGAAAAGAACUUUGAAAAGAGAGUUAAACAGUACGUGAAAUUGUCAAAAGGGAAGCGUUUGACACCAGUGUUGUUUUUCUGAAAAUCAAUUAAAGAACUGUUUAUGCUAAGCUGUUUAGACUUUAUCAGCUAACUGUUUAGUUUUGAGCUUUUCUUUAAUGCACUUUUCAGUUAACAAGUCAACAUCAAUUUCUUUUGCUGUAAAAAAGCUUGAGGAAGGUGGCUUGAGAUUCGUCUUAAGUGUUUAUAGCCUCUUGCCUAUGCAGUCGGAGAGAUUGAGGUCUGCAGCGUAGAUCCUUCGGGGCUAAAUGCAUUUGUGCUAAGUUAUAGCAUUUUAUAGACAACUUGUUGACUAUGAUUUGUCUUGUAGCUUACUCGCUUAUGUUAUUUUACCUACGCUUAGGAUGUUGACUGAUAUGUAGUCGUA